CAGUAGCCGCGGGAAUACGGAGGGAGCUAGCGUUGUUCGGAAUCACUGGGCGUAAAGCGCACGUAGGCGGCUAUUCAAGUCAGGGGUGAAAGCCCGGGGCUCAACCCCGGAGCUGCCUUUGAAACUAGAUAGCUUGAAUCUUGGAGAGGCGAGUGGAAUUCCGAGUGUAGAGGUGUAAUUCGUAGAUAUUCGGAAGAACACCAGUGGCGAAGGCGACUCGCUGGACAAGUAUUGACGCUGAGGUGCGAAAGCGUGGGGAGCAAACAGGAUUAGAUACCCCUGUAGUCCCUGUCUCUUAUAA
rnacentral:rRNA from 1 species